UACGGAGGGUGCAAGCGUUAAUCGGAUUUAUUGGGCGUAAAGGGCGUGUAGGCUGGAAUACAAGUCGAAUGUGAAAUACCGGGGCUCAACCCCGGGGCGGCAUUUGAAACUGUAUUUCUUGAGGGUAGACGGAGAAAAUGGAAUUCCACAAGUAGCGGUGAAAUGCGUAGAUAUGUGGAAGAACACCUGUGGCGAAAGCGAUUUUCUAGUUUAUACCUGACGCUGAGGCGCGAAGGCAAGGGGAGCAAACAGG
rnacentral:rRNA from 1 species